UACGGAGGGAGCUAGCGUUGUUCGGAAUUACUGGGCGUAAAGCGCACGUAGGCGGCUUUGUAAGUUAGAGGUGAAAGCCCGGGGCUCAACCCCCGGAAUUGCCUUUAAGACUGCAUCGCUUGAAUCCGGGAGAGGUGAGUGGAAUUCCGAGUGUAGAGGUGAAAUUCGUAGAUAUUCGGAAGAACACCAGUGGCGAAGGCGGCUCACUGGACCGGUAUUUGACGCUGAGGUGCGAAAGCGUGGGGAGCAAACAGG
rnacentral:rRNA from 1 species